UACGUAGGGGGCAAGCGUUGUCCGGAAUCAUUGGGCGUAAAGAGCGUGUAGGCGGCUCGGUAAGUCCGCUGUGAAAGUCCAGGGCUCAACCCUGGAAUGCCGGUGGAAACUGUCGAGCUCGAGUCCGGAAGAGGCGAGUGGAAUUCCUGGUGUAGCGGUGAAAUGCGCAGAUAUCAGGAGGAACACCAAUGGCGAAGGCAGCUCGCUGGGACGGUACUGACGCUGAGACGCGAAAGCGUGGGGAGCGAACAGG
rnacentral:rRNA from 1 species